rnacentral:rRNA from 1 species
AGCGAACGCUGGCGGCAGGCUUAACACAUGCAAGUCGAACGCCAUCUUCGGAUGGAGUGGCAGACGGGUGAGUAACGCGUGGGAACGUACCCUUUGGUUCGGAAUAUUCUCGGGAAACUGAGAGCAAUACCGGAUAAGCCCUACGGGGGGAAAGAUUUAUCGCCAAAGGAGCGGCCCGCGUCAGAUUAGGUAGUUGGUGGGGUAAAGGCCUACCAAGCCUACGAUCUGUAGCUGGUCUGAGAGGAUGAUCAGCCACACUGGGACUGAGACACGGCCCAGACUCCUACGGGAGGCAGCAGUGGGGAAUCUUGGACAAUGGGCGCAAGCCUGAUCCAGCCAUGCCGCGUGGAUGAUGAAGGCCUUAGGGUUGUAAAAUCCUUUCAACGGGGACGAUAAUGACGGUACCCGGUAGAAGAAGCCCCGGCUAACUUCGUG